rnacentral:rRNA from 1 species
GACGAACGCUGGCGGCGUGCCUAAUACAUGCAAGUCGAACGCACAGUUUAUACCGUAGCUUGCUCCACCAUAGACUGUGAGUUGCGAACGGGUGAGUAACGCGUAGGUAACCUGCCUGGUAGCGGGUGAUAACUAUUGGAAACGAUAGCUAAUACCGCAUAAUAUUUAUUAUUGCAUGAUAAUUUAUUUAAAGAUUCUAUUGCAUCACUACCAUAUUGACCUGCGUUGUAUUAGCUAGUAGGCGAGGUAACGGCUCACCUAGGGGACGAUACAUAUCCGAACAGAGAGGGUGAGCGGGCAAAAUGGGAAUGAGAAAAGGCACAGAAGACUAAGGGAGGCAGCAGUAGGGAAACAUCGGAAAUGGACGAAAGUCUGAACGAGAAAAGACGAGUGAGUGAAGAAGGAUUUCGGAUCGUAAAGAUCUGUUGUAAGAGAAGAACGGGAGGGAGAGUGGAAAGUUCACACUGUGACGGUAACUAAAAAGAAAGGGACGGCUAACUACGUG